AGUGAACGCUGGCGGUAGGCCUAACACAUGCAAGUCGAACGGCAGCACAGGAGAGCUUGCUCUCUGGGUGGCGAGUGGCGGACGGGUGAGGAAUACAUCGGAAUCUACUCUGUCGUGGGGGAUAACGUAGGGAAACUUACGCUAAUACCGCAUACGACCUACGGGUGAAAGCAGGGGAUCUUCGGACCUUGCGCGAUUGCAUGAGCCGAUGUCGGAUUAGCUAGUUGGCGGGGUAAAGGCCCACCAAGGCGACGGUCCGUAGCUGGUCUGAGAGGAUGAGCAGCCACACUGGAACUGAGACACGGUCCAGACUCCUACGGGAGGCAGCAGUGGGGAAUAUUGGACAAUGGGCGCAAGCCUGAUCCAGCCAUACCGCGUGGGUGAAGAAGGCCUUCGGGUUGUAAAGCCCUUUUGUUGGGAAAGAAAUCCAGCUGGCUAAUACCCGGUUGGGAUGACGGUACCCAAAGAAUAAGCACCGGCUAACUUCGUGCCAGCAGCCGCGGUAA
rnacentral:rRNA from 1 species